rnacentral:rRNA from 1 species
AUUGAACGCUGGCGGCAGGCCUAACACAUGCAAGUCGAGCGGUAGAGAGGUGCUUGCAUCUCUUGAGAGCGGCGGACGGGUGAGUAAUGCCUAGGAAUCUGCCUAGUGGUGGGGGAUAACGUUCGGAAACGGACGCUAAUACCGCAUACGUCCUACGGGAGAAAGCGGGGGAUCUUCGGACCUCGCGCCAUUAGAUGAGCCUAGGUCGGAUUAGCUAGUUGGUGAGGUAAUGGCUCACCAAGGCGACGAUCCGUAGCUGGUUUGAGAGGACGACCAGCCACACUGGGACUGAGACACGGCCCAGAC